CCGCGUGAGUGAUGAUUCUUCCGGGUCGUAAAACUCUGUUGUUAGGGAAGAACAAGUGCUAGUUGAAUANUCUGGCACCUUGACGGUACCUAACCAGAAAGCCACGGCUAACUACGUGCCAGCAGCCGCGGUAAUACGUAGGUGGCAAGCGUUAUCCGGAAUUAUUGGGCGUAAAGCGCGCGCAGGUGGUUUCUUAAGUCUGAUGUGAAAGCCCACGGCUCAACCGUGGAGGGUCAUUGGAAACUGGGANACUUGAGUGCAGAANAGGANAGUGGAAUUCCAUGUGUAGCGGUGAAANUGCGUAGAGAUAUGGAGGANCACCAGUGGCGAANGCGACUUUCUGGUCUGUAACUGACACUGANGCGCGAAAGCGUGGGGAGCAAACAGGAUUAGAUACCCUGGUAUCCCCGCCGUAACGAUGANUGCUANUGUUAGAGGNUUCGCCCUUUNUGCUGANUUACGCAUUAACACUCCCCUGGGGAGUACGCCGCAGGCUGAACUNAAGAAUUACGGGGCCCCCAACGUGACGNNGGGGUUAUUCAA
rnacentral:rRNA from 1 species